GACGAACGCUGGCGGCGUGCUUAACACAUGCAAGUCGAACGGAAAGGCCCUGCUUUUGUGGGGUGCUCGAGUGGCGAACGGGUGAGUAACACGUGAGUAACCUGCCCUUGACUUUGGGAUAACCUCAGGAAACUGGGGCUAAUACCGGAUAGGAGCUCCUGCUGCAUGGUGGGGGUUGGAAAGUUUCGGCGGUUGGGGAUGGACUCGCGGCUUAUCAGCUUGUUGGUGGGGUAGUGGCUUACCAAGGCUUUGACGGGUAGCCGGCCUGAGAGGGUGACCGGCCACAUUGGGACUGAGAUACGGCCCAGACUCCUACGGGAGGCAGCAGUGGGGAAUAUUGCACAAUGGGCGGAAGCCUGAUGCAGCAACGCCGCGUGCGGGAUGACGGCCUUCGGGUUGUAAACCGCUUUCGCCUGUGACGAAGCGUGAGUGACGGUAAUGGGUGAAGAAGCACCGGCUAACUACGUG
rnacentral:rRNA from 1 species